rnacentral:rRNA from 2 species
UCAUGCCCCUUACGCCUUGGGCUACACACGUACUACAAUGGCCGGGACAAAGAGUCGCAAGCAUGCGAAUGCAAGCUAAUCUCAUAAACCCGGUCUUAGUUCAGAUUGCAGGCUGCAACUCGCCUGCAUGAAGGCGGAAUCGCUAGUAAUCGCAGGUCAGCAUACUGCGGUGAAUACGUUCCCGGGCCUUGUACACACCGCCCGUCACACCAUGGAAGCUGGUCACGCCCGAAGUCGUUAUCUCAACCCGCAAGGGAGGGAGGCGCCUAAGGCAGGGCUGGUGACUGGGGUGAAGUCGUAACAAGGUAGCCGUACCGGAAGGUGCGGCUGGAUCACCUCCUUA